AGAGUUUGAUCCUGGCUCAGAACGAACGCUGGCGGCAUGCCUAACACAUGCAAGUCGAACGAGACCUUCGGGUCUAGUGGCGCACGGGUGCGUAACGCGUGGGAAUCUGCCCUUGGGUUCGGAAUAACAGUGGGAAACUACUGCUAAUACCGGAUAAUGACGUAAGUCCAAAGAUUUAUCGCCCAAGGAUGAGCCCGCGUAAGAUUAGCUAGUUGGUGGGGUAAAGGCCUACCAAGGCUACGAUCUUUAGCUGGUCUGAGAGGAUGAUCAGCCACACUGGGACUGAGACACGGCCCAGACUCCUACGGGAGGCAGCAGUGGGGAAUAUUGGACAAUGGGCGAAAGCCUGAUCCAGCAAUGCCGCGUGAGUGAUGAAGGCCUUAGGGUUGUAAAGCUCUUUUACCCGGGAUGAUAAUGACAGUACUGGGAGAAUAAGCUCCGGCUAACUCCGUGCCAGCAGCCGCGGUAAUACGGAGGGAGCUAGCGUUGUUCGGAAUUACUGGGCGUAAAGCGCACGUAGGCGGCUUUGUAAGUUAGAGGUGAAAGCCCGGGGCUCAACUCCGGAACUGCCUUUAAGACUGCAUCGCUUGAAUCCAGGAGAGGUGAGUGGAAUUCCGAGUGUAGAGGUGAAAUUCGUAGAUAUUCGGAAGAACACCAGUGGCGAAGGCGGCUCACUGGACUGGUAUUGACGCUGAGGUGCAAAAGCGUGGGGAGCAAACAGGAUUAGAUACCCUAGUAGUCC
rnacentral:rRNA from 1 species